UACAGAGGUGGCAAGCGUUGUUCGGAAUUACUGGGCGUAAAGGGCGCGUAGGCGGUCCGAUAAGUCCCGUGUGAAAGCCCCCGGCUCAACUGGGGAACUGCACGGGAAACUGACGGACUUGAGUUCGGGAGAGGGAAGCGGAAUUCCGGGUGUAGCGGUGAAAUGCGUAGAUAUCCGGAGGAACACCGGUGGCGAAGGCGGCUUCCUGGACCGACACUGACGCUGAGGAGCGAAAGCCAGGGGAGCAAACGGG
rnacentral:rRNA from 1 species